rnacentral:rRNA from 1 species
GAUGAACGCUAGCGGCAGGCCUAAUACAUGCAAGUCGAACGGUGUCUUCGGACAUAGUGGCGCACGGGUGCGUAACACGUAUGCAACCUACCUUACAUUGGGGGAUAGCCUUUCGAAAGGGAGAUUAAUACCGCAUGAGACAGUAGCUGGGCAUCCAGCAGCUGUUAAAGAUUUAUCGAUGUAAGCUGGGCAUGCGUCCAAUUAGCUAGUUGGUGAGGUAACGGCUCACCAAGGCAAUGAUUGGUAAGGGAACUGAGAGGUCAAUCCCCCACACUGGCACUGAGAUACGGGCCAGACUCCUACGGGAGGCAGCAGUAGGGAAUAUUGGGCAAUGGACGCAAGUCUGACCCAGCCAUGCCGCGUGCAGGAUGAAGGCGUUAUGCGUUGUAAACUGCUUCUAUACAGGAAGAAACGACUCUUGCGAGAGGCAUUGACGGUACUGUAUGAAUAAGCACCGGCUAACUCCGUGCCAGCCGCCGCCGUAAGAC